UUAGGUCAAGAAAAUGUGACCUUUGGGCUUCUGAACCUCUCUUCUCCUUUCUCUCACGACGGCGACGGUGGGUUCUUUCUUCUCCGACGAGAUUCUCAUCGCUCAUCCUCACCUUACGAACAAACACUUCCGUCCUCUAUCUGAACCUCUUUCUCCGUCUUCUCUCACUCUCAGACUUUGAUUCGUUAAUCGCUCACAAAAUGCACUCACACGUCGAAUUUAGGGGAGAAGAAGAACACGAUUUGUCCACCGAAUGUACACUCCGGCGAAUUUGACGACGGAACCAAGAAAACCAGAGGAGCCUAGAUUAUUCAGUGAAAUUUCUUGAAGAAGAUUUGAUGAUGAACGUGAUGGUAAUCGACGAUUGGAGAUGCGUUGAAGAAGAUUUUGAGGAUGCGGAGAAGAUGAUUAUUGCAGGUUCUGAGUCUUUUGUGCGUAGUGAUUGAAGAUUCGUGAAUGAUUUCUUAGAAUGUGGGGUUCUGAGAUUGAAACGUGAAGGGAGAAGAUUGGAGAAUUCUGAUUGAAGGUGAGAACGAUGAAGAUAAAAAUGAUGAGAGAGUUUGAAUGAAGGUGGAGGUUCGGAUUUUAUAGCAGUGUAGGAAAGAGUCGAAUGGCUAAAAGGUUUGUGAAUGUACACUUGUGCGGGCUGCUGCUUGAUGGUUGUAUGUUUGGAGUUGCCGGUUUUCCAAUG